rnacentral:rRNA from 1 species
CGUACGGGAGGCAGCAGUGGGGAAUAUUGCACAAUGGGGGAAACCCUGAUGCAGCCAUUCCGCGUGUGUGAAGAAGGCCUUCGGGUUGUAAAGCACUUUCAGCGAGGAGGAAAGGGUGUAAGUUAAUACCUUACAUCUGUGACGUUACUCGCGGAAGAAGCACCGGCUAACUCCGUGCCAGCAGCCGCGGUAAUACGGAGGGUGCGAGCGUUAAUCGGAAUUACUGGGCGUAAAGCGUGCGCAGGCGGUUUGUUAAGCGAGAUGUGAAAGCCCCGGGCUCAACCUGGGAACCGCAUUUCGAACUGGCAAACUAGAGUCUUGUAGAGGGGGGUAGAAUUACAGGUGUAGCGGUGAAAUGCGUAGAGAUCUGGAGGAAUACCGGUGGCGAAGGCGGCCCCCUGGACAAAGACUGACGCUCAGGCACGAAAGCGUGGGGAGCAAACA